rnacentral:rRNA from 1 species
GACGAACGCUGGCGGCGUGCUUAACACAUGCAAGUCGAACGGAAAGGCCCUGCUUUUGUGGGGUGCUCGAGUGGCGAACGGGUGAGUAACACGUAAGUAACCUGCCCUUGACUUUGGGAUAACUUCAUGACACUGGGGCUAAUACCGGAUAGGAGAUCCUGCUGCAAGGUGGGGGUUGGAAAGUUUUGGCGGUUGGGGAUGGACUCGCGGCUUAUCAGCUUGUUGGUGGAGUAGUGGCUUACCAAGGCUUUUACGGGUAGCCGGCCUGAGAGGGGGACCGGGACACGGGGGAAACACAUACGGGAGGGACUCGUGAGGGAGACUGGAGUGGGGGAGAGAGCAUGAUGCGCGGAAGUAGCGUGCAGGAUCGCCGCCUGCGGGGUGGCAGCCUGCGUGUAUUAGGCCAUAAUGGGCUGUGAGUAAGCGUGUGUGACGGUAACGGAUAAAGAAGGACCGGCUAACUACGUG